rnacentral:rRNA from 1 species
AACGAACGCUGGCGGCAUGCCUAACACAUGCAAGUCGAACGAGACCUUCCGGCCUAGUGGCGCACGGGUGCGUAACGCGUGGGAACCUGCCCUUAGGUUCGGAAUAACUCCCCGAAAGGGGUGCUAAUACCGGUUAAUGUCUUCGGACCAAAGAUUUAUCGCCUUUGGAUGGGCCCGCGUUGGCUUAGCUAGUUGGUAGGGUAAAAGCCUACCAAGGCGACGUUCCAUAGCUGGUCUGAAAGGAUGAUCAGCCACACUGGAACUGAGACACGGCCCAGACCCCUACGGGAGACAGCAGUGGGGAAUAUUGGACAAUGGGCGAAAGCCUGAUCCAGCAAUGCCGCGUGAGUGAUGAAGGCCUUAGGGUUGUAAAGCUCUUUUACCCGGGAUGAUAAUGACAGUACCGGGAGAAUAAGCUCCGGCUAACUCCGUG